rnacentral:lncRNA from 1 species
UGCGAGAGGCAUCAGGAUCCCUGGCGGCGCCUGAGCCAGCGGCUGCUAGGAGGCUGUGUCCGCAAGCCAGCGGGGCGAGGCGCCUGGGCCCUGCGCGUCAGGUCCCGGCCUGGGGCACCGGGGCUGCCAGCGUCGGAGGAGGCCUGAGACCUGGGAGGAAGCUGGAGAAAAGAUGCCCUCUGAAUCUUUGUGUUUGGCUGCCCAGGCUCGCCUUGACACCGAAUGGUUGAAAACAGAUAUACAGAUGGUAGUGUCGAACCAAGUGGAACAAAGAAAGAAGAUCUGAAUGACAAAGAGAAAAAAAAUGAAGACGAAACUCCUGCACCUGUAUAUAGGGCCAAGUCAAUUCUGGAGACCUGGGUGUGGGUCAAGCAACCAGGAAACGGAAGCCCAAAGAGGAGGGGAGCUUACAGCAGGCCCUGGACUAGGGAUUAACACAAAAACAACAGCAACAAAUCUGAUUUAAGCUUCACACAUAAUCAAGGAAAACUGAUGCUUCAGAAAGAUGCCCCAUAUGUAUCCUGUGGCACUCAAAGUACCCCAGGUUGAGAUGAGAUGAGGAAGAUUCAAGUUGUCAAGUCCAGUUUCCCAAGAUCUCUUGCACAGAAGAUGAGCAAAUCUCACUUCAAAGAUCA